rnacentral:lncRNA from 1 species
CUAGCAAGAACAAAGGAAGAAACGAAGAACAAAAACCUUAGAGUGAAAAUUCAAGAAAAAAUUGGUGGAUUUCAAGUAAUCAAGUCAUCAAAGGUGAAAUUUCUUAACUCUAGCUUGUGAUCUAUCUUUCCUAUGCAUUAUUUUGCAUUUUUCAUGGUUGAAUCACAAGAUAUCAUGAAGGAUAGUGUGCUGAUCAAACCCUAGGAGAGAGAAUUUGAUGAUGAUUUAGAUAGAUUUUUAAGAUAUAUAGAUGUUUUAAGUUGUUUAUGGUGUUAAGUGUAAGAAAUAAGCUUGAAAUUCACAUAUUCCUCAUGAGUUCAUCAUUGGCCGAAUCUUCCUUCUAGAGUGUUAAUGGUGGAUUUGAUUUUAUUUCAAGUGAAUUGGUUAGGAAAUGAUGAAUUAUGGUGAGAAAAUCAAGUAGGAAAAAUCAUAGUGUUGAUGCACCCAUCAUGGCCGAAUUUUUCAAGAGAAAAUAUGAGGAUGAUUUUGCCAUAUUUCAAGUUAUUUAACUUGUGUUUGAUGGUUUGGAGAAUUGGAAGAAAAAUGAAAUUAUUGGAGUUGAAUUGGACAUUUUGGCCAAUUAAUCGAGUGAUAGAUCGAAUUAGGCCAAUUCUAUUUUAUUUAGGUACAUAAUUGAAUUUGUGUAGAACACUGUGUUUAGACGAUAAUCUGAACAAUUUACAUCCCAUUUCACGCAUUAGUAUAGAGCCUGAAUUGGUUUUAUAACAAUUUAGCACAAAUGUAGUAAAUGGCUUAUUGCACAUUAUGUCUAGGUGGUGGGCUUUCUGGCAAAAGUAAAGAGAUAGUACUCGAGGAUCAAGAAUCGGAGUACUCGAAAUUUGACUCCUGAAAUAGUGAGUAACCUUAUCAUCAUCUUGAUUAUCUGAAGUGAAUUUUAAUUCAUUUUUGUGAUUUUAUGGAAAAUGAGUUUAAAUGGUAAAUCUUUAUGUUUUAUAAGCAAAAUGUGAUUAAAUGAAAUGAUUUUAUAAAAUUGUCUUGAAAUUGAAUGAUGGUUUUGAAAAUGGAGUAAUUGGAGACUAAUUGUUGUGUUGUAAAUUAUGGAUUGAAUUAAAUGGCUUAUGAUAAUGUGGGCAUGAGUGGCUGGAUUUGGUAAAUGUGCUGAAAAAGUAUGAACUGUUGAUUUGCCUUGAGAAGCUGUAAAAUAAAAUAAUUGUCAUGUCAUGCUGUGGAAUUUUAUUGAAUUGGUGGGUUAUAAAUUGAUCGCUGUAGUGGACAAGUUCCCUAGACCAGCCUAUUAGAGGGGCACGGUAACCCUAUUAUAUUCAUACAUCAGUAUGAGAGGUGCGGUUGGAUAACUCUUGAGGUUAAAACUUUAGAGUUCACUUCAUGCCAAACCACCACGUGAGGGUGAACUCAGCCAACGCCAAGGAACGGCUAUGUUUUAAAAAAAAAAGUAUGAUUUAUGCGUACAUGACUUUUUAACAGCCUUGGCGGACUCAGUUGGGAUAGCUCUCGGUCAAGGUAUCCCUGAUAACUGAGUAUGAGAAUGAUUUUGGCAUGAGCCAAACUUUUCAGGAAAUCAUAAGCUUCGUUGUUUAUUUUGGUGAAAUAAAUCUAUUUUAUCUUAUUAAAAUGAGUUUGAAAUGUUGAGAAUCAUUUUAUGCUAAUCUAUUUUAUCUGUCUCCAUUUACUCGGAUUUAGAUAUUUUAGAUGGUAUUUGUUUACUCACUGGGAUAAUAUAAUCUCACCACCCUCAUUUUCACCCAUUUCAGGCUCAGGAUAGUCGGUAGAUAGCUCACUUUGUUGAGGGCUAUAGUUGGACUUGCCUCCUCAAAAAUUGUAGGUUUAUCACUUUUGAUACUUUUGGUCGUUUGUGGACCCAUGUGUCACUGUAAAUUAAAUUUUAUACUUUGGUUAUCUGUAUUACAGUAUGUAUGAAUUUAUUUAGCUUUUACGCUACAAAAAUUAUUUACCGGUAACUCUAUAAAUAUUGUUUUAUAAGAAAAUAGAAUAG